GCGCUAGUCGUAUAGUGGUAGUACGCAGCCUUGCCAAGGCUGUAGCGCGGGUUCAAUCCCCGCCUAGCGCA
rnacentral:tRNA from 1 species